rnacentral:lncRNA from 10 species
AGAGAGAUUCUGAUUGUACCUCCUCUAAAAGUAAGAGAACCCAUGACUCAGGAGAGUGCUGCUUUAUCUUGAAAAAUGUGUCUGAAGAGAGACAGUGUAGUUGAUGCGGGGGGCAGGGUACCAGCUGAGAAGUUUAUUUUCCCAUCCACCUUCAGUUUUGCAACUUACGGACUUUCCCUGAGAGUCAAAUAGACACAUAAAAUUUAAAUUAUCCUCCAUAUACUCACAAACAGGGUUGCCUGCUGGGUGAACAAAAUGCUAGAAAUAUUGUGUAAUAUGCAAACUGAAGUCUGAAAGAAAAAGGAGAAAAAGCCUCAAUAAUCGUUCCCAUACAUGCAGACUGAGCCCUGCAAGAAACCAAGAACUAUAAAUUUACGAGACAGCCAGGGUUUGUGUGGUUGCCUCACAAAACCUGUAGUGUCUAGAUUCACGUCUCAUCUUGUAAAGAAUGAAUGCAGGAAAAUUAGAUAUAUUUAAUUUUGAAGUAUUCGUGAAAAAAAUCAUUCUCACCUAUUUUCAAUAUGUCUAUUUAAAAUAGUCACUCAAUCAAAUCACAGGAAAAAGGGUAGCAAUUCUCACGGAAACAUAAUUUUAACAACCUGAGCUAAAAAUUGAACCAUGGAUAGCUAAUCUUUAAGUCAAAUACUUUAACGCUUCAUCUCAUUUUCCCUAUUUUCACUUUUAUCCAAGCCCCUUUUAUUUAUUACAACAUGUGCAUUGCAUUGCAAUCCAGAGGUCAAACUAAUAUUUAAGGAGAAAAGCAAAAAUAAAAAUACAUGACAUAAAAAUAAAUAACGCUUCUUUUCUGUCUGCAAGAUCAGUUUAUAUCCAGCCAGAAGUUUGUUGUUCCAGAUAAUACCCGUCAAAUGUUGAAAAUAUAUACCGACAUAGUGCCUAGAGCUUUAGAUAAGAAUAGUUCUAAUUGUAUGAAUGCAAAACUACAUUGCUCUAUCCUAGAAAACUUUCUCUAGGCUUCUCUAUUUGCUAGACAAUGAAUGUAAACACUUAAUGUUUAUUGAGCAGGAUUUAUGAAGCUGUCAGUGAACUGACACAUGGCAAUAAAAUGUAUUGUGGCUGGAGCCUAGAUAAUCUGCAGCUGAAUGAAUUACGUUAAUUCUGGUGCUUGCAUAUUCAUGCUAUGGAAAUAGUUCUUGUAACAGAUUUCUUCAUUGUCUGCAGGUGUUACAGCGUGGUUAGAAGUAGAGUUAAUUGCACUCUAGGACUUGUGGGAAUUCACACGUCCCUGGAAUUGGCUUGUUUUCUGGAAGAGUAUUCAUGAUUUGUGUAAGGAAGCCAACACACUCAUAAUUAAAUGAUCACAACUGCAAACACUUAACUUUUGAAAAGAUCUUACUUGCCCUAGAGAUAUUUUUCUUUGAUGGGUUCUUCUGUUUAACAGCAGCAAAUAUUUCAAGAACUAUUGGUAGAGCAAUAUACUACGUAUAAGGGAAGCAGAAAAAAAAAUUGUCAUACUGUAAAUAAGAUAAAGGUAAUAAUAUGUAUAAAAUUAUAGGAAUUUAUAGGCAAAUAGAAAAAUCAGUACAUUAUGCCAUCUUGAGAAAUGAAAUCAUGUUUUCUGGAAAAGGUGAUACUAGACCUCAAUCGAAGGGAAAAAAGCCAUUAACUUCUAUCUAAAUGAAGAAAAUAUUAUAUUUAUGUAGAGCAAUGGCAUUGUUAAGAUGAUGGAGAUUCAAGGUGGUAAGUUAUGGAAAACUCUAAGUAUGUUAAAAUGGUAUUGGAGAAGAAUGUACAUAGGAUUAAAGCAGAAAAUAACUUGAGAGAUUAGAAUAAAUAAUGGACCAUAAAUCUCAUGCUAAUGAAUUUGAAAGGGAUGCAAACAGUGACAUUGAAGACUAUCUGAAAAAGAAAUCUACAAAUCUCUUAAAUCCGCAAAUCUACCUGACAACUACGUAGAGGAUGAAUAAGUAAAAAAGAGGGAGGGUCAUCAAUACUGGAGCCAGG